ensembl:lncRNA novel transcript
GAAAAAAGAAAACCAUUGCUCUUGAUAUUGCUAAUGCCGGGGGAGGUAAGCUAACGAGAAAGUAGGGAAAAGGAAGGUUUUAGAGUUCACCUCCACUCCUUCCCCUGGCUAACACUCUUUACACUCUUCUGCCUUCCCUUGAGAUAAUUAAAAUAGACUGUACACCGGCCCUAGUCGGUGCCCAUUCCCCCUAACUCUUCACUCAACUACGUGUGUAGUCCGAGGGAGUGAGGACCCCGGGUCCAAGAGCUCAAUCCCGGCCCCGCCCCGUCGGCCCAGGCCCCGGGGCUGGGAGGAGAGGAUGCCUUCGGAGGCGCAGAAUCCGAAAAUUUUGCUGAAGUUGCUUAUCAGAUUAAGAAGCUUUUGGGCUGAGAUGAUGCGGUUUUCUAGAUAUAGGAUCACUUCAUCUGCAAACAAAGAUGAUUUGACUUCCUCUCUUUAUAUUCGAAUACCUUUAUUUCUUUCUCUUCCUGAUUGCCCUGGCCAAAACUUCCAAUACUAUGUUGAACAGCAUUGGUGAGAGAGUGCAUUCUUGACUUGUGCCAGUUUUCAAGAGAUGUGGUUGGAGCUGGAAGCUGUUAUCCUCAGCAAACUAAUGCAGGAGGAGAAAACCAAAUACUGCAAGUUCUCACUUAUAAGUGGGAACUGAAUGAUGAGAACAUUUGGACAUGAAGACCAAAUCUCCAGGAUUGUGAAUCAAUCAGAGAAUGUUUAGAAGCUGGGCAGAGAAAUCGAGCUGCAAAAUGACCUACAGAUAUUACAGUUUUAUUCUUGGAAAAUGGAGGUUGUCUAUUAGUGUGAUGGUAACAACCAACUAAUAAAAUUUGGAGACUAGACUGCUUGUCAUGUCUGGGGUUCACUGGAAAUCAAUGAUUCACUGGAACAAUUCUCCUGUCAAAAAAAAUGUGAGGUUUGUAACUUGCCCUAAGUAUAACAAGGGAUAUAUUUUAACAAAGGAUGUAUUUUUUCUUAAGAAGCAACCAUUUCUCAGCUUAUACAUAAUAGCAAUAAUAAAGUCUUUGACCCUAUUAAUGAUUUUCUUAUUUAAUCUUGAUUUUUACAGUUCAUCACUGCAUUUCAUUAUGGGAAGAUUUAAAUAUUAAAUAGAAACUAGCUAGCUUAAUAAAAUCUGAACACAGUUAAUGUCUGUCAUAAUGCUCAUUUUAAUACAUUUCUAUCCUUCAUUCUGUUGAUAUUAUGUAUCAUAUUGAUUGAUUUGCACACAAUUCACCAUCAUUGCAUCCCAGGGAUUGCACUUGGUCAUGAUGAAGGAUCUUUCUAAUGUAUUGUUGAAUUUGGUUUGCUCAUAGUUUGUUGAGGAUUUUUGCAUCAAUAUUCAUUAGAGAUAUUGGCCUGUAAUUUUUUUAUAUGUCUUUGUCUGCUUUUGGAAUCAGGGCAAUACUAGCCUUGUGGAAUGAAUUUUAAAGUAUUCCCUUUUCACCUAUUUUUUCUGAAUAAUUUGAGUAGGAUUGGUGUUAGAUCUUCUUUAAAUGUUUGGUGGAAUUCACCAGUGAAGCCACUGGGUCCCAGGAUUUUCUUUACUGGGAGACUUUUUAAUACAGCUUCCAUCUCAUGACUUAUUAUUCAUCUGUUUGUGUUUUGGAUUUUGUAUUAGUCUGUUUUCAGGCUGCUAAUAAAGACAUACCCAAGACUGGAUAACU